UGUCACUGCUUUCAGCUGCUUUGAUAUGAUUGUUUUUGCUGGUAGAGACGUAUGCAAACUUAUAAAUUCAAGGGGAUGGUUUAACUGUUUAUAGCAUCUAUGUUGUAUAUUGUUUUUGAUAUUGUGAAUUGUUUUCCAUUUUGGUUUCCAAAUGGUUUUCAUUUUUUGAUGCUUUUGCACAUUAUAAGCUUAAAACAAUUGUUCUGCAUGACAGAAUGUUUGGAAAUAAUAAUUUAUUGUCUAUAAUGCAUUAAAUAAUUUACAGUAUUUACAUCGGAUGGAUUUAAAUGACUUAUUUGGUUUUUAUUCCUUUGGUUUUUAUUUCCUUUUCAGAGAAAUCGUUUCCACAUUUAUUUUUAAGUGUAAAAACUUAGCAUGCACAUGCUGAUAUAUUUUGCAGGAAAAAAAAAAUCUAAAUGCAUAUGUUUAUUUCUAUAAUGAUAUUAUCUGUUGUUUACAUACAAACAUUUUUGUUUAUUUUUAUCUGUAACAAAACUGUCAAACCACCACUGAUACAGCUAAUUCAGUGACUAAUAAGCUGUGGGUGUGAAUUUCUCAUGACAUCAGUAGUGCUUAUUAUAAAGUUUACAACAGACCCAUCACUGCUAACUGAAAGACUUUUUAAGGUGUCACGCACAAAUGCAUUUUAAUGCUAUUCAAAACAAGUCAUUUCAAAGCAAUGCAAACAGAGUUCGAUAACUUCUGUUUCCUUUCGAAAGGGAACUCCACGCUGCGUCCUCUAGAGGGCGCUAUGGGAACGCUGUCAGCGUGACCGGUGUCUGAAGCCUGAAUGAAAUAACGACAUGAACUUGACAUUGGCAGGCGGAAGCUUAUGACGUAAGCAAAUGAGCGACUGCGGAUAUAAAAGGGCACUUGUAGAACACAUCAUGCUCUUUUUUGUCUUCAAGAGACCUUGUGUAAGAAGCACAUAUGUGUUUGACUCACGAGAGAGAGAAGGAUGCGCUCACUGUUGCAUUCGUGGAACUACUAGAGCAGAGGUUGACCACUGCAGUUCUUUGGAGGACAGAUACCAGGAAGGCGCCUGGUCCCAUCUGCAUCAGCCAGGACAGCAGAAUUGUUAGAACAUAACCUGAAAUGUGGGAGAUGGAUGCGAAGACACUUGAAGGGGCCAUUCACACCUCACAGCAGAACAUCACUACACACAUAUCCACAUGGCCUCCCGGAUUAGAACCGGAACUAAAUUUUUGCAACACAGAUUGCUAUAGAUUAGACUCCAUCCAUCUCCCAGACAUGAGCACAGAACACACACCUCCACCAUCAUCUAGACUAUCCAGUCUGUAGACUACACAUCACAGAAGACAAUGACGGCUUAGAUUACAAAUGUGGUACUCCACUAAAGAUCUAUUGUCCAUCUUCACACUGACAGAACCACAUAGCCUCACACACACAGGACAACAGAAUUAAUUACAUUCCAAAAGAUACAACAUAUCUACUAUCUGCAACCAUCUGAAAACCAAAAUGAUUAAAUGUGAAGUGACUGCACUUAAUUUCUAUCAACCAAUCAUAAAAUGUACAAUUUUACCAAACCAUCAACUGUGACUUAGCCUGGAUAUCAGAUUCCCAGUCUCUCUCUCUCUCUCUCUCUAUCCCUCUCUCACACACACACACACUCACACACACACACACCUGUUACAAGGAAUUCAGAAUCUCCAUUCUAGAAAAAUUCUAAAUCAUGUUCUAAGUCACUAUUUAGAAACCCUAGAUCUACAUAAGUGGCUUGCAUUGGAAGAUUUCUGAAUGAACAAUGUGAUUAUUAUAUAUAUACCUUCAUAAUUGUGAUUGGAUUAUUAUUAUCAUAUGUUUUAUUGAUGCAUAUUAUUAUUAUCAUUAUCUUAUGUUUUAUUGAUGCAUACCAUUUUUAUAAAUAUGUGAGUUACACUGACUUUUUGCUACUUUUCAUUUAAUCCACCCAGACCAAGUUUAUCC
ensembl:lncRNA